GGAGGUGGCGAGCGUUGUUCGGAUUUACUGGGCGUAAAGAGUGCGUAGGUGGUUCCGUAUGUCGGAUGUGAAAGCCCAUCGCUCAACGAUGGAAUUGCAUUCGAAACUGCGGAACUAGAGUGCAGGAAGGGAGAGCGGAAUUCUUGGUGUAGCGGUGAAAUGCGUUGAUAUCAAGAAGAACACCGGUGGCGAAGGCGGCUCUCUGGAAAGCUACUGACGCUGAGGCACGAAAGCUGGGGGAGCGAACAGGAUUAGAUACCCUGGUAGUCCCAGCCGUAAACGGUGUGCACUUGGUGUGGGGAGUAUUGACCCUCUCCGUGCCGGAGCUAACGCGUUAAGUGCACCGCCUGGGGAGUACGGCCGCAAGGUUA
rnacentral:rRNA from 1 species